GAUGAAGAACGUAGCGAAAUGCGAUAAGUAAUGUGAAUUGCAGAAUCCCGUGAACCAUCGAGUCUUUGAACGCAAGUUGCGCCCGAAGCCAUUAGGCCGAGGGCACGCCUGCCUGGGUGUCACACACCGUUACCCUCGCGCCAACGUCCAUCGUUGGCCGCGGCGCGGGGCGUGCGCUGACCUCCCGCGAGCGGGGUCUCGUGGUUGGUUGAAAAUCGAGUUCGCGGUCGAGGGUGCCGUGAUGAAAUGGUGGAUGGGCGACGCCCGAGGCCAAUCACGCGCGACUCUGUCCGGCUCGGACUCCUGGACCCCUUCGGCGUCUCCGGACGCUCUUUGGCGAGACCUCAGGUCAGGCGGGGCUACCCGCUGAGUUUAAGCAUAUUCAAUAAGCGGAGGA
rnacentral:misc_RNA from 1 species